UACUAGCUAGCAGGGGCUGGUAAAUACUACAGUUCACUAGAAAUUGCAAUGGUUGGUAAGAAUUCCAAAAAUCUCUUGUAGGUCCCAUUCCUUUCCUCAUUCCCUGCAGCUUCCUGCUUCGUUGUGUCUUAGUCUUCAGAGCGUGUCUCUUCUUUCUGACCUCUCCUCCUCUCACCUUAUCAUACAUCCCACCCUGCCUCCCCAGAGUAUGGCAAGACUGGGGUACGAGGCUGAUUUGAUGGCCCCCGUGUCUUGGUCCUUCUGUCUGCAUGAGUGGCUGGGUGGAAAAUCAGUAGGUAAUAGGAGGCAAAGAAAUGACAGCAAAGAGAUGAGCUCUGGAGUGAAGGCAAACCAGGCCUCUAAUGAGGACAAUUUAAAAAAAGAAAACACGAAAUGCAGGCUUGUUAUCUUGGGCUGUUUUUGCAGCAUGGAACAAAGCAAUUCACAUAGCCAAAUAUUAAAAUUGUUUUAUUUAAGAAUAAUUAUGAAACAUAAUUUAUGAUUAUCUCAGGUAAGAGACUCAGAAUUAUAAUUAAACUUUUCCUCUAGAUAAAUAUUCCUUAUCUGUUAUAACCAGAAUGAGAGCUCUCCCUAACAAGGAACCUCGCCUAGGCUGGAUAUGUAAUAAAAUGAUAAUGUCUUUUGAAUGACUGUGGGAAAGGGCACCUAGAAGCAAUCUUGGAAGCCCACUCUUUAGAGCAUGGACAGGUGUCCACUGGGUGAGCAAAAGGUAAAUUUAAAGAG
rnacentral:lncRNA from 1 species